UCGACUGUUUAACAAAAACAUUUUUUUAACUGUUUAUUUAAAGUAAAGCCUGCCCACUGAUAUUUGAAGGGCCGCGGUAUUUUGACCGUGCUAAGGUAGCAUAAUCAUUAGUCUUUUAAUUAAGGAAUAGAAUGAAUGGCUAAACCUUAAAGUGUUGUUUUAACAUUAAAAAUUAAAUUUUUGUUUUAAGUGAAAACUCUUAAGUUUGAAAAAAAGACGAUAAGACCCUUUAGAGCUUUAUUUUUUGUUUAAUGCAGAUAUUAGAAGAGUCCUAAUUUUUUAAUAAAUAAUUUGGUUGGGGCAAUCUAAGAAUAAAUAAAACUUCUUGAGACUUAGAUAAUCUUAAUAUUUAAAAAUUAAAAAGUUACCUAAGGGAUAACAGCGUAAUGAUUUUUGAGAGUUCAUAUCGACAAAAUUGUUUGCGACCUCGAUGUUGAAUUAAAAUUUCUUUUUGGAGCAGUAUUUUGAAAAGGUAGUCUGUUCGACUAUUGAUUUUUUACAUGAUUUGAGUUCAGACCGGA
rnacentral:rRNA from 1 species